UGGGGAAUAUUGCACAAUGGGCGCAAGCCUGAUGCAGCAACGCCGCGUGAGGGACGACGGCCUUCGGGUUGUAAACCUCUUUUAGUAGGGAAGAAGCGAAAGUGACGGUACCUGCAGAAAAAGCACCGGCUAACUACGUGCCAGCAGCCGCGGUAAUACGUAGGGUGCGAGCGUUGUCCGGAAUUAUUGGGCGUAAAGAGCUCGUAGGCGGUCUGUCGCGUCUGCUGUGAAAACCCGAGGCUCAACCUCGGGCCUGCAGUGGGUAGCGGGCAGACUAGAGUGCGGUAGGGGAGAAUGGAAUUCCUGGUGUAGCGGUGGAAUGCGCAGAUAUCAGGAGGAACACCGAUGGCGAAGGCAGUUCUCUGGGCCGUAACUGACGCUGAGGAGCGAAAGCGUGGGGAGCGAACAGGAUUAGAUACCCUGGUAGUCCACGCCGUAAACGUUGGGCGCUAGAUGUGGGGACCAUUCCACGGUUUCCGUGUCGCAGCUAACGCAUUAAGCGCCCCGCCUGGGGAGUACGGCCGCAAGGCUAAAACUU
rnacentral:rRNA from 1 species